rnacentral:rRNA from 1 species
GACGAACGCUGGCGGCGUGCCUAAUACAUGCAAGUCGAACGAAAACGAUGCGCCGCAGUUCAGUACACCCUAUUGUGUGACUUGCGAACUACAGAUGAACUACCCCGGCCAUCUGACGGGGAUCACGUUAUAACUCUUGUGCUCAAUCCCUAUUACCCUUCAAAACCCUUGGCUGGAUGAGGAAUGUAUGCUUCGGGUUCAGGCGACGCUUCCACACGGACCUGCUUAGCUUUAUCUAGAAGGAGCGGCUCCCCCUCGCCUAGAUGACUAUCCAACCUCAAACUGAGAUCGGGAUCGUUCACACUGAGACUCAGACCCGGCUCCUACUCCAAGCGGAGGCAGGGAAUCUUCCUCUUCGGACACGGGUCUGAACCCAGACCGACCACCUGCGCGAAGAAUGAUUAUCGUUUCCGGAUACUCUGGCUCUGUAGAAGAACACGAACGAGAGUGACUGUUGUGCGUGUGACCUGAUCUAGCCCUAAACCACAGGCUAACUGCUAGCCACGUGCCGCGCAACUCGGUAAGUGGCCAAGCCCCGACCGGAUUUCUUGAUUUAUUGAGCGAGCGCCGAGCGUCAGUCUGUUCAGAUGUGAGAGCCCCCGGGUCAUGGCUCGACCGUUGUUGGAAACUGUUUGACUUGAGUGCAGAAGAGGAGAGUGGAAUUCCAUGUGUAGCGGUGAAAUGCGUAGAUAUAUGGAGGAACACCAGUGGCGAAGGCGACUCUCUGGUCUGUAACUGACGCUGAGGCUCGAAAGCGUGGGGAGCGAACAGGAUUAGAUACCCUGGUAGUCCACGCCGUAAACGAUGAGUGCUAGGUGUUAGAUCGUUUCCGCCAUUCAGUGCUGCAGCUAACGCAUUAAGCACUCCGCCUGGGGAGUACGACCGCAAGGUUGAAACUCAAAGGAAUUGACGGGGACCCGCACAAGCGGUGGAGCAUGUGGUUUAAUUCGAAGCAACGCGAAGAACCUUACCAGGUCUUGACAUCCUGAGGCCCCUUCAGAAAAAGAACUUUCCCUUCGGGGCCUAAGUGACAGGUGGUGCAUGGUUGUCGUCAGCUCGUGUCGUGAGAUGUUGGGUUAAGUCCCGCAACGAGCGCAACCCUUAUUGUUAGUUGCCAUCAUUCAGUUGGGCACUCUAGCGAGACUGCCGGUGACAAACCGGAGGAAGGUGGGGAUGACGUCAAAUCAUCAUGCCCCUUAUGACUUGGGCUACACACGUGCUACAAUGGAUGGUACAACGAGCAGCGAACUCGCGAGGGCAAGCGAAUCUCUGAAAGCCAUUCUCAGUUCGGAUUGUAGGCUGCAACUCGCCUACAUGAAGUCGGAAUCGCUAGUAAUCGCGGAUCAGCACGCCGCGGUGAAUACGUUCCCGGGCCU